rnacentral:tRNA from 1 species
GGUUGUAGCUCAGUGGUAGAGUGCUUGCCUUGCAUAUGCGAGGCACUGGGUUCAAUCCUCAGCAACACA